rnacentral:lncRNA from 1 species
CAGCUGGCCGCCAGCUAGUACUCCAGCCAAUUUUACGUGGAAUUUUUGUUUCAGACAAGCCCACCUUAAAGGUCACCCUUAAAAGAGGCAAUUCAAAACCUCUCAGAAACAACCGAGUGCAUUCUUUGAUUGUUAUGCAGAAGCCUCUAAAAGGUGAAACGCUUGCAAAAACUGCUCUAAAAAAGAUCCUAAAAGAAAAAAAAGAAAAGAAUCUUUAGUAAAAGUUUUUAGCCAUCUGAGCAAAGAAACUUAAUUUAAUUCAUGUGCCAGAAAAACAAUUUGGAUGCAGCUAUUUUUUUGAGUUUUGUACCUGAGCCAUGGCUAAAAUUUUGAAGAUCUCUGUUAGUGUCUAUCUGUGUGUCUGUGUUGGAAGUCUCUAUGCUUGUCUGCCUCCAGUGGUAGAAUUUCUGAAGGAGCUCUGUGUAAUCGGCUUGAGCUGGAGCAUUUCCUGCCGAAGGGCCAUGGCUCAAUCAGUAAGUAAACUACUACCGGAAAAUACCAUUCCAGAACGGGGAGUUCUGGCAGAACUACACAGUGACCGGGCACUCAUUUCACUGGACAAGUUAUGGAGGAAAUUUGUAAAUUUCUGGCCUAAUGGGCCGCGUCUUCACUGCAGCUACCACCUGCAAUCGUCAGGCCUAACGGAACGAACAAAUGGCGUCAUUAACACCCAACUGGCCAAGCUCACAGAAGCCUUUUCUUUACCACGGCCUAAAGCCCUUCCACUGGUAUUGCUUAACCUAAGAUCAACACUCUUUGGGAAAUACAAUUGUCUACAUGGGAGGUUAUUCCUGGGAGAUCUAUGUGUCUAGAUGAAGGAUUAUAUGAACCUUCAUUACUAAAAGAUGACACACUUCACUCUUGUAAAAUCUGAAUCAAGCUAUUAAAGGAACGCUCGAAAUUGGUUGCUGAUGCAUAUGACGCAAAUUUACCCAUGGCGGAAGCCAUACGGACUCACAAUAUACAGCCUGGUGACUACAUGUAUUGGAAACGUCACUAUUUGAAAAACUGUUUGCAGCCCAAGUGGAAAGGACCUUUUGACUAAU